rnacentral:siRNA from 1 species
UGGAGUGACGAAAAUACCCCUGC